GCAUUAAUGGGGUAGUGGUAACCUGGGUCGUUGCCAUUAUAUCGUCCGAUAACUUGCAUCGACCCGCCGGGGGUUCGAUUCCCCCUUAAUGCA